rnacentral:ncRNA from 2 species
UUUAGUGGUAGAGGUGCGAAACUAAAGAGUAAAGGCUUGGAGAAUGAUGAGAUUCGUUGAAAAGCUUUGAAAGGGAGUUUCGCCGAAGUGAAAACAGACUCAUUCUUUGUUUUCGCUGGUUCAGGGUUUAAGAAAUACUGAACUGUCAAGGUAUAUCACCUUGGAGAGCUAUCUCGCAA